ACGUUAUUCGGAAUCACUGGGCUUAAAGCGCGUGUAGGCGGGUCGAUGCGUCGGUCGCUGAAAUCCCCCGGCUCAACCGGGGAACGGGCGCCGAAACGAUCGGCCUGGAGGGGAGUAGGGGGACCUGGAACUUCCGGUGGAGCGGUGAAAUGCGUUGAGAUCGGAAGGAACGCCCGUGGCGAAAGCGAGGUCCUGGACUCUUUCUGACGCUGAGACGCGAAAGCCA
rnacentral:rRNA from 1 species